GACGAACGCUGGCGGCGUGCCUAAUACAUGCAAGUAGAACGCUGAAGGAGGAGCUUGCUUCUCUGGAUGAGUUGCGAACGGGUGAGUAACGCGUAGGUAACCUGCCUGGUAGCGGGGGAUAACUAUUGGAAACGAUAGCUAAUACCGCAUAAUAGUAGAUGUUGCAUGACAUUUGCUUAAAAGGUGCAAUUGCAUCACUACCAGAUGGACCUGCGUUGUAUUAGCUAGUUGGUGAGGUAACGGCUCACCAAGGCAACGAUACAUAGCCGACCUGAGAGGGUGAUCGGCCACACUGGGACUGAGACACGGCCCAGACUCCUACGGGAGGCAGCAGUAGGGAAUCUUCGGCAAUGGACGGAAGUCUGACCGAGCAACGCCGCGUGAGUGAAGAAGGUUUUCGGAUCGUAAAGCUCUGUUGUAAGAGAAGAACGAGUGUGAGAGUGGAAAGUUCACACUGUGACGGUAGCUUACCAGAAAGAGACGGCUAACUACGUG
rnacentral:rRNA from 1 species